rnacentral:rRNA from 1 species
AGGAUGAACGCUGGCGGCGUGCCUAAUACAUGCAAGUCGAACGAAUCUCUUCGGAGAUGAGUGGCGAACGGGUGAGUAAUACAUAGGUAACCUGCCCCUGUGCGGGGGAUAACAGGAGGAAACUCCUGCUAAUACCGCAUAGCCAUGAGCACCGCAUGGAGCUCAUGCCAAAUAUCCUUUCGGGGAUAGCGCAGGGAUGGACCUAUGGCGCAUUAGCUUGUUGGCGGGGCAACGGCCCACCAAGGCAACGAUGCGUAGCCGGCCUGAGAGGGCGGACGGCCACAUUGGGACUGAGACACGGCCCAGACUCCUACGGGAGGCAGCAGUAGGGAAUUUUCGGCAAUGGGGGAAACCCUGACCGAGCAACGCCGCGUGAGCGAAGAAGGCCUUCGGGUCGUAAAGCUCUGUUGUAAAGGAAGAACGGCGCAUACAGGAAAUGGUAUGCGAGUGACGGUACUUUACCAGAAAGCCACGGCUAACUACGUGCCAGCAGCCGCGGUAAUACGUAGGUGGCGAGCGUUAUCCGGAAUCAUUGGGCGUAAAGAGGGAGCAGGCGGCCGCAAGGGUCUGUGGUGAAAGACCGAAGCUAAACUUCGGUAAGCCAUGGAAACCGGGCGGCUAGAGUGCGGAAGAGGAUCGUGGAAUUCCAUGUGUAGCGGUGAAAUGCGUAGAUAUAUGGAGGAACACCAGUGGCGAAGGCGACGGUCUGGGCCGCAACUGACGCUCAUUCCCGAAAGCGUGGGGAGCAAAUAGGAUUAGAUACCCUAGUAGUCCACGCCGUAAACGAUGGUCACUAAGUGUCGGGGGUCAAACCCCGGUGCUGCAGUCAACGCAAUAAGUGACCCGCCUGAGUAGUACGUUCGCAAGAAUGAAACUCAAAUGAAUUGACG